AUUGAACGCUGGCGGCAUGCUUUACACAUGCAAGUCGAACGGCAGCGCGGGCUUCGGCCUGGCGGCGAGUGGCGAACGGGUGAGUAAUAUAUCGGAACGUACCCAAGAGUGGGGGAUAACGUAGCGAAAGUUACGCUAAUACCGCAUACGAUCUAAGGAUGAAAGCAGGGGAUCGCAAGACCUUGUGCUCCUGGAGCGGCCGAUAUCUGAUUAGCUAGUUGGUGAGGUAAAGGUUCACCAAGGCAACGAUCAGUAGCUGGUCUGAGAGGACGACCAGCCACACUGGAACUGAGACACGGUCCAGACUCCUACGGGAGGCAGCAGUGGGGAAUUUUGGAUAAUGGGGGCAACCCUGAUCCAGCAAUGCCGCGUGAGUGAAGAAGGCCUUCGGGUUGUAAAGCUCUUUUGUCAGGGAAGAAAAGGCUGUGGCUAAUAUCCACAGCUGCUGACGGUACCUGAAGAAUAAGCACCGGCUAACUACGUGCCAGCCGCCGCAGUAAAAC
rnacentral:rRNA from 1 species